CGGAAUGUUGGGCGGUAUGGUCAAAAUAGCUUCAUCUAUGUGUGUAGAGUUUGGAGCAGUGGAGGCUCUAGACUUGGCGAGGCCUUAGGCGAAAAUCAUACCCCUAAUGAGGCCCCCACUAAUGCCAUUAUUGAAAAAAAUAGCAGUUGACUUGUGUGUGUGUAAGAAGCUGUAGAUAUAUUGAAUGGGGAGCUUGCAGCACUGGAUAUAGAGAGCUAGUCUCUCUAUACAUUGUUGCAUUGUCUACCUGUGUGUGCCUGAGAGUGUGUGUCUGGCAGGGAGUAUUCUUGUAUCUGUAUGUAUGUUUUUCUGAGCAUGUGUAUGUUUGUG